AGGACCGAACCGACUAAUGUUGAAAAAUUAGCGGAUGACUUGUGGCUGGGGGUGAAAGGCCAAUCAAACCGGGAGAUAGCUGGUUCUCCCCGAAAGCUAUUUAGGUAGCGCCUCGUGAAUUCAUCUCCGGGGGUAGAGCACUGUUUCGGCAAGGGGGUCAUCCCGACUUACCAACCCGAUGCAAACUGCGAAUACCGGAGAAUGUUAUCACGGGAGACACACGGCGGGUGCUAACGUCCGUCGUGAAGAGGGAAACAACCCAGACCGCCAGCUAAGGUCCCAAAGUCAUGGUUAAGUGGGAAACGAUGUGGGAAGGCCCAGACAGCCAGGAUGUUGGCUUAGAAGCAGCCAUCAUUUAAAGAAAGCGUAAUAGCUCACUGGUCGAGUCGGCCUGCGCGGAAGAUGUAACGGGGCUAAACCAUGCACCGAAGCUGCGGCAGCGACGCUGAUGCGUUGUUGGGUAGGGGAGCGUUCUGUAAGCCUGUGAAGGUGUGCUGUGAGGCAUGCUGGAGGUAUCAGAAGUGCGAAUGCUGACAUAAGUAACGAUAAAGCGGGUGAAAAGCCCGCUCGCCGGAAGACCAAGGGUUCCUGUCCAACGUUAAUCGGGGCAGGGUGAGUCGACCCCUAAGGCGAGGCCGAAAGGCGUAGUCGAUGGGAAACAGGUUAAUAUUCCUGUACUUGGUGUUACUGCGAAGGGGGGACGGAGAAGGCUAUGUUGGCCGGGCGACGGUUGUCCCGGUUUAAGCGUGUAGGCUGGUUUUCCAGGCAAAUCCGGAAAACUAAGGCUGAGGCGUGAUGACGAGGCACUACGGUGCUGAAGCAACAAAUGCCCUGCUUCCAGGAAAAGCCUCUAAGCAUCAGGUAACAUCAAAUCGUACCCCAAACCGACACAGGUGGUCAGGUAGAGAAUACCAAGGCGCUUGAGAGAACUCGGGUGAAGGAACUAGGCAAAAUGGUGCCGUAACUUCGGGAGAAGGCACGCUGAUAUGUAGGUGAAGUCCCUCGCGGAUGGAGCUGAAAUCAGUCGAAGAUACCAGCUGGCUGCAACUGUUUAUUAAAAACACAGCACUGUGCAAACACGAAAGUGGACGUAUACGGUGUGACGCCUGCCCGGUGCCGGAAGGUUAAUUGAUGGGGUCAGCGCAAGCGAAGCUCUUGAUCGAAGCCCCGGUAAACGGCGGCCGUAACUAUAACGGUCCUAAGGUAGCGAAAUUCCUUGUCGGGUAAGUUCCGACCUGCACGAAUGGCGUAAUGAUGGCCAGGCUGUCUCCACCCGAGACUCAGUGAAAUUGAACUCGCUGUGAAGAUGCAGUGUACCCGCGGCAAGACGGAAAGACCCCGUGAACCUUUACUAUAGCUUGACACUGAACAUUGAGCCUUGAUGUGUAGGAUAGGUGGGAGGCUUUGAAGUGUGGACGCCAGUCUGCAUGGAGCCGACCUUGAAAUACCACCCUUUAAUGUUUGAUGUUCUAACGUUGACCCGUAAUCCGGGUUGCGGACAGUGUCUGGUGGGUAGUUUGACUGGGGCGGUCUCCUCCUAAAGAGUAACGGAGGAGCACGAAGGUUGGCUAAUCCUGGUCGGACAUCAGGAGGUUAGUGCAAUGGCAUAAGCCAGCUUGACUGCGAGCGUGACGGCGCGAGCAGGUGCGAAAGCAGGUCAUAGUGAUCCGGUGGUUCUGAAUGGAAGGGCCAUCGCUCAACGGAUAAAAGGUACUCCGGGGAUAACAGGCUGAUACCGCCCAAGAGUUCAUAUCGACGGCGGUGUUUGGCACCUCGAUGUCGGCUCAUCACAUCCUGGGGCUGAAGUAGGUCCCAAGGGUAUGGCUGUUCGCCAUUUAAAGUGGUACGCGAGCUGGGUUUAGAACGUCGUGAGACAGUUCGGUCCCUAUCUGCCGUGGGCGCUGGAGAACUGAGGGGGGCUGCUCCUAGUACGAGAGGACCGGAGUGGACGCAUCACUGGUGUUCGGGUUGUCAUGCCAAUGGCACUGCCCGGUAGCUAAAUGCGGAAGAGAUAAGUGCUGAAAGCAUCUAAGCACGAAACUUGCCCCGAGAUGAGUUCUCCCUGACUCCUUGAGAGUCCUGAAGGAACGUUGAAG
rnacentral:rRNA from 1 species